rnacentral:rRNA from 1 species
AAAGAAAUCGUUAAGGGCGUAUGGCGGAUGCCUAGGCUUUCAGAGGCGACGAAGGACGUGGUAAGCUGCGAAAAGCUACGGGGAUUGGCACACACGAAUUGAUCCGUAGAUAUCCGAAUGGGGCAACCCAAUACAUUGAAGAUGUAUUACUGCGCAAGCAGAGCAAACCCGGAGAACUGAAACAUCUAAGUACCCGGAGGAAAAGAAAUCGAAGAGAUUCCGUAAGUAGUGGCGAGCGAAAGCGGAUUAGCCCAAAAGUUUAUAUAUGUUUAAUAGAACACUUUGGAAAGAGUGGCCAUAGAGGGUGAUAGCCCCGUACAUGAAAGGCAUAUUUAGAUGAUACAAGAGUAGGGCGGGACACGUGAAAUCCUGUCUGAAUAUGGGGGGACCAUCCUCCAAGGCUAAAUACUCCUGAAAGACCGAUAGUGAACAAGUACUGUGAAGGAAAGGUGAAAAGCACUUCGAAUAGAAGGGUGAAAGAGAACCUGAAACCGUACGCCUACAAGCGGUCGGAGCAGCUUAUUGCUGUGACGGCGUGCCUUUUGCAUAAUGAGCCUACGAGUUAAUUUUACUAGCGAGGUUAAGUAAUUAAGUUACGGAGCCGAAGCGAAAGCGAGUCUGAAUAGGGCGAAUAGUUAGUAGGAUUAGACGCGAAACCUUGUGAUCUACCCAUGGGCAGGUUGAAGCUUUGGUAACACAAAGUGGAGGACCGAACCGGUUGACGUUGAAAAGUCUUCGGAUGACCUGUGGGUAGGGGUGAAAGGCCAAUCAAACUGGGAGAUAGCUCGUACUCUCCGAAAUGCAUUUAGGUGCAGCGUUGAUGUUAAGUUUAUUAGAGGUAGAGCUACUGAUUGGAUGCGGGGGUUUCACCGCCUACCAAUUCCUGACAAACUCCGAAUGCUAAUAAAUGUUCAUCAGCAGUGAGGGCAUGGGUGCUAAGGUCCAUGUCCGAGAGGGAAAGAACCCGGACCAACAGCUAAGGUCCCUAAAUAUAUGCUAAGUUGAAAUAACGCGGUUGGACUGCAUUGACAGCUAGGAUGUUGGCUUGGAAGCAGCCAUUCAUUUAAAGAGUGCGUAACAGCUCACUAGUCGAGCGGUCCGGCAUGGAUAAUAAUCGGGCAUAAGCAUAUUACCGAAGCUAUGGGAUGUAUUA